GACGAACGCUGGCGGCGUGCUUAACACAUGCAAGUCGAACGGAAAGGCCCUGCUUUUGUGGGGUGCUCGAGUGGCGAACGGGUGAGUAACACGUGAGUAACCUGCCCUUGACUUUGGGAUAACUUCAGGAAACUGGGGCUAAUACCGGAUAGGAGCUCCUGCUGCAUGGUGGGGGAUGGAAAGUUUCGGCGGUGGGGGAUGGACUCGCGGCUUAUCAGCUUGUUGGUGGGGUAGUGGCUUACCAAGGCUUUGACGGGUAGCCGGCCUGAGAGGGUGAACGGGCACAUGGGGCCUGAGAUACGGACCAGACUGCUACGGGAGGCAGCAGGCGGGAGUAUUGCACAAUGGGCGGAAGCCUGAUGCAGCAACGCCGCGUGCGGGAUGCCGGCCUUCGGGUUGUGAACCGCUGUCGCCUGUGACGAAGCGGGAGUGACGGUAAUGGGUAAAGAAGCACCGGCUAACUACGUG
rnacentral:rRNA from 1 species